rnacentral:rRNA from 1 species
GACAUGCAAGUGGUACGGAAGUCCCGAAAGGUCGACCGACCUUCGGGAGCUUGCACAGGUGCUGCAUGGCUGUCGUCAGCUCGUGUCGUGAGAUGUUCGGUUAAGUCCGCUAACGAGCGCAACCCUCGUCGUGUGUUAUACGUGUCACACGAUACUGCCGGUAUCAAGCCGGAGGAAGGUGGGAUGAUGUCAAGUCAGCAUGGCCUUUAUAUCCUGGGCUACACACACGCUACAAUGGCCAACACAAUAGGUUGCUAAGCCGCGAGGUGGCGCCAAUCCAUAAAGUUGGUCUCAGUUCAGAUUGUAGGCUGCAACCCGCCUGCAUGAAGAUGGAGUUGCUAGUAAACGCAGGUCAGCUAUACUGCGUUGAAUACGUUCCCGGGGUUU